GACGAACGCUGGCGGCGUGCCUAAUACAUGCAAGUAGAACGCUGAAGGAGGAGCUUGCUUCUCUGGAUGAGUUGCGAACGGGUGAGUAACGCGUAGGUAACCUGCCUGGUAGCGGGGGAUAACUAUUGGAAACGAUAGCUAAUACCGCAUAAGAGUAGAUGUUGCAUGACAUUUGCUUAAAAGGUGCAAUUGCAUCACUACCAGAUGGACCUGCGUUGUAUUAGCUAGUUGGUGGGGUAACGGCUUACCAAGGCGACGAUACAUAGCCGACCUGAGAGGGUGAUCGGCCACACUGGGACUGAGACACGGCCCAGACUCCUACGGGAGGCAGCAGUAGGGAAUCUUCGGCAAUGGACGGAAGUCUGACCGAGCAACGCCGCGUGAGUGAAGAAGGUUUUCGGAUCGUAAAGCUCUGUUGUAAGAGAAGAACGAGUGUGAGAGUGGAAAGUUCGCACUGUGACGGUAUCUUACCAGAAAGGGACGGCUAACUACGUG
rnacentral:rRNA from 1 species